AUACGUAGGGUGCAAGCGUUAAUCGGAAUUACUGGGCGUAAAGCGUGCGCAGGCGGUUUUGUAAGACAGAGGUGAAAUCCCCGGGCUCAACCUGGGAACUGCCUUUGUGACUGCAAGGCUAGAGUACGGCAGAGGGGGGUGGAAUUCCGCGUGUAGCAGUGAAAUGCGUAGAUAUGCGGAGGAACACCGAUGGCGAAGGCAAUCCCCUGGGCCGAUACUGACGCUCAUGCACGAAAGCGUGGGGAGCAAACAGGAUUAGAUACCCUGGUAGUCCACGCCCUAAACGAUGGCAACUGGUUGUUGGGUCUUCAUUGACUCAGUACCGAAGCUGACGCGUGAAGUGGACCGCCUGGGGAGUACGGCCGCAAGGUUGAAACUUAAAGGAAUUGACGGGG
rnacentral:rRNA from 1 species